AGUCACGGCUGAAUCAGUCACAUGACCACCAGGGCUGCCAGUCUCCUCUUCCUCCCGUCUUCUUUCGUUAGAACCGUCAGAUAGUCUCUGAGAUCUUAGGAACCCUGUUUUGUUGUAUAUCCUCUGCCCUGGUAUGAAGAAAAGAUGAUUCUUACCGUGGGCUUUAGCUUUUUGUUUUUCUACAGGGGCAUGCUGUGUGACAAAGUAACUCAGAGUUCCCCGGACCAGAUCGUGGUGAGUGGCAGUGAGGUGGUAUUGCUCUGCACUUACGACAGUACAUAUUCAAAUCCAGAUUUAUUCUGGUACCGCAUAAGGCCAGAUUAUAAUUUUCAGUUUGUCUUUUAUGGGGAUAAAAGCAGAUCUCGAGGUGCAUAUUUUACUCAAGGACGGUUUUCUGUGAAGCACCUUCUGACCCAGAAAGCCUUUCACUUGGUGAUCUCUCCAGUGAGGACUGAAGACAGUGCCACUUACUACUGUGCCAUGAGCACGAUGCUGCAGGUGCCCAGGAAGUCUUAACACAAACUCCUGGGG